CAUUGUGACCCAGGCCCUUCCUCGUGCCUGCUUGGGUGAUGCUAGAGGCCUGCUGGCCAUGGUGCCCUCUGGCUAAAAUGCUGCCAUAAAAUGACUCCAGAGGAGAAAUGGACCAAUACUACAGCUGCAACUAGAGGAGAUUAUGACACCUACAUGCCUCUCUUCCCUGAAGUAUCCGACCUUCACAAGCCAGAACACAUAGCCAUCAGUCUGACACCAGCUGAAGGUGGCUUCAGGCAUGGCUUCAGCAUUUUGGCUCUGGAUGUGUUUUAACAUCAGUCUGGAAGGACCAGGGUAUACAAGGGUUUAGAUGUAAAAUUCCCUAUAAAAACGAUUGGUAGAUAAUUGUUUUUUUUUUUUCUCUUGUCACACUGCAAAUGGGGGUGUACAUGUAGAAAAAAAAAAACACAAAACAACAACAACAACAAAAACCACA